rnacentral:rRNA from 1 species
UGAUGUGUACGUGAAUCAUCGAAUCUUUGAACGCAUCUUGCACUUCUCAGGUCUCCUGAGAAGUAUACUUGUUUGAGUAUCAUAAACACUAAUCUCCAAGGAAGUAAUUCUUUGAAGGAAUUGAGGUUUUCAAAUUGCUUUAUUUGUGAUUUGUGCCUUUUAAUGUAUAUGUGAAAUUGGCAAUUUUCUUUGUAAAAAGAAAGAGACCCUUAUAAUCAAAUGUGAGAUAACUAUCGCACAAAGUAGUUUUUAGGGAAGUCAAACUUGUUCACUACGCCUCGGCGUCCAUAAGGCACCUCCUAUAUUUUAUUAUAUAAGGUUUUUUGUGGGCUCCACUUUGAACAUUGAUCUCAAAUCAAGUAAGACUACCCGCUGAACUUAAGCAUAUCAAUAAGCGGAGG